rnacentral:lncRNA from 1 species
CUCGCAAGUGAGUUUUGCAGAUGGAGAAAACAGCCAAGCAGUUAGGAAUACCAGCAUNCUGCUGAUCCAUAAACUGUAUGUCUUAAUGCAGAAUCUUGGACCACUGCCUAAUGACAUUACGCUCACCAUGAAAUUGUUCUACUAUAACGAUGUCACACCCCAUGAUUACCAACCCCUUGGCUUUAACAGAUUGUCUACUUUUUGAUGGUGAACCUGUGAACCUAAAAGUUGGAUCUGUCUCCACNAAGUUCCAUGCGAUGAAAGUACGAGUGACAACCGACAGUAAACGGAUGAGGAUGCUGGAAAAAAGUGAGGGUGAAGAGAAUGGNCCCACUGAGAUCUCCCAUCAAGGACUGGACUAUGAUGAAGAGGAGGAGGAUGAAGAGGAGGACAAUGCUAAAAUACAGGCACAGAAACCACAGAAUAGUUGCAUUGACUUGAAGCUGGCCAUGGGACAAAAGGAAAGCAUUGAGUGUAUACAGGUGUCGAUAUACAUCUUCAGACCGGAAGGAAGACGUUUGUAUCUUAAAUAGUUUCAGAUUGACUGGUCUGGAUGAAAUACAGGCUAGGGUUCCGAGGGAACUUGUUUGUGAAUUAUGGAAAACUAGAGAUUUGUGGAAAACUAGACUGAUUGGGAUGGAUUUCUUCAGAAGACACAGAAAGGAACUUCUGCCUUUGAACUUUCUGAGCCAAGUUUGGUCUGCAGAGGGUCAAUUCAUUCUACGGGAUUGAUAACACUAGAGGUAUUCAUAACCUCCUGGUGCUUGAACUUUGUUCUCCCCAAUUCUUGUGCACAGUUUGUCUAAAAUAUAAUGCCACUGUCUUAUUGUAUGUUUAUAUUAUUUAAUUUAUUAUAGUUAGAAAACAUAGCUGGCACAACUGAGUUUCCCGAGGGUAUUGUGAGCUGCAAAAAUGAAGGUUAGAACUUUCCACCUUCAGAGCAGGAGAACGGUCCAACUGGAGGGUCUACCAGCCUCUACCUCCUGGUGGAAAAAGCCUUUACUGAAACUUGAAGUAGCCUUAUCUUACAAGAGUGGCAUGAAGACGAUGGAAAGAAAUAAUUUUUUUCUUCUGGCAGAUUACUGGAACCAGCACAAUAAAGUAGUUUUUACUAAGACUUUCCA